AUCCAGCUGAUGAGUCCCAAAUGGAACGCAACACACGUCCAGGAU
rfam:Schistosoma haematobium scaffold1255_11, whole genome shotgun sequence.